CGUGUAGGCGGUGCGGUAAGUUGGGCGUGAAAUCCCCGAGCUUAACUCGGGUGGGCCGUUCAAGACUGCCGUGCUAGGGUGCGGGAGAGGGAAGUGGAAUUUCCGGUGUAGCGGUGAAAUGCGUAGAUAUCGGGAGGAACACCUGCGGCGAAGGCGGCUUCCUGGACCGUAACCGACGCUGAGGCGCGAAAGCUAGGGGAGCAAACAGGAUUAGAUACCCUGGUAGUCCUAGCCCUAAACGAUGAGCACUGGGUGUGGUCCCUCACGAGGCCGUGCCGAAGCUAACGCAUUAAGUGCUCCGCCUGGGGAGUACGGUCGCAAGGCUGAA
rnacentral:rRNA from 1 species